AACGAACGCUGGCGGCGCGCCUAAUACAUGCAAGUCGAGCGAGAAGACGUAGCAAUACGUUUGUAAAGCGGCGAACGGGUGAGGAAUACAUGGGUAACCUACCCUCGAGUGGGGAAUAACUAGCCGAAAGGUUAGCUAAUACCGCGUACGCUCCUUGGACUUCGGUUCAGGGAGGAAAGCGAUACCGUGGGUAUCGCGCUCUUGGAUGGGCUCAUGUCCUAUCAGCUUGUUGGUGAGGUAACGGCUCACCAAGGCUUCGACGGGUAGCUGGUCUGAGAGGACGAUCAGCCACACUGGCGCUGCGACACGGGCCAGACUCCUACGGGAGGCAGCAGUAAGGAAUAUUGCGCAAUGGGCGAAAGCCUGACGCAGCGACGCCGCGUGGGGGAUGAAGGUCUUCGG
rnacentral:rRNA from 1 species